UUGGUGUUACAUGGAGCAGCAGCACAGUCAAGCAGGGAACAGAUCACGUAAAGCCCUUUAGAGAGUGAAGUCGGCUUUUUAUGCUAGGUGCAACUGGGAGUUCUGAACACGGCAAAGUUGGACAUUCCAAAGAUGGCGUAGAUGAACAUGACCAGGAAGAGCAGGAGGCCGAUGUUAAACAACGCAGGAAGGGACAUCAUCAAAGCAAAGAGCAGCGUGCGGAUCCCCUUUGCUCCUUUGACUAGACGUAGGAUUCGGCCAAUCCUGGCAAGACGGAUCACUCGGAACAGGGUAGCAGAGAUCUCUGGAGGUGAAACAUUGCUCUGAACUGGCAUUGAUUCUAGCCCAGCUCUUGUAGACCAAUUACCAACUUCUCCAUCUCCCUCCAGUGCCUGGAACUGGACCUGGCACACAGGCCUCUGGCUCAUCGGAAUUCAUAGGUUCAGCCUCUGCUUCUUCUCCUUCUCCAGGCAAAGGGUUAUCAACUGUGCUGCACUCUGAGGAGCUUGACCGGUUUAAUCUCUAGAAAGGAAUUCACCACCCCACCAGCACGCGGAACACAAUCAGGAAGGAGUGGAAGAAGUCGUUCAUGUGCCACCGUGGGAGCGUACAGUCAUCAUUGAUCUUGCAGACACAUUCUUUGUAGCUCUUACCAAAGAGCUGCAUGCCGACCACAGCAAAAAUGAAGACGAUGAUGGCCAACACUAAGCCUUUAGACUAAAAAGAAAACAAAUAUUACAUACCCUGAAUCUGUGCUGAAACCACAAAGGAGAGCAUCUUUGGAUCCUUCCAAGUAAUAAAAAUAUUCUGUUGAAGAAGAAUUUGAACAGUUAUAACAUCACAGACUUUAAUCUGUGAUUGUGAUAAAGGAGGUCAAAUUAAAAAAUCUGAUUAUUGGGAGACUUUUGGAGUAAUCAUGGAAGAAAGACUAUGAAAUCAGAUAUUCUUGGAUUUGAAUGUUGCUUCUAUCCCUUCUUAACUUAAAUCCAUGGGCAUUCAUUAUCAUCAGUGCCUAACCUGGCAGAACCACAGUCUACACAUAAUCUGGCAUCUGUCUUUUCCAUGCUGGCUACCAAAUGGCUGAAUGUUGGUGGAGAAACUCUCACAACCAAGUGAAUGGUUAUAUUUUAAGUUUUAUUCAUUUUUAAACAAGAACUUGGAAAAAGUGUAAACCUAAUUGGCACUGCAUAGACUAUCCAUCCAAGUGCUGAGCAUGGAGGAAGAUGAUCAAUCUCAAUGAUGUCACAUACCUCUGAGUGGGAGAUAGUCUUUUUGAAAAAUUUAGUAUUUGCCUAUCAAUGACUAGCUUUCAUAUAGCUUCCAUUUUCCUUUAAAUACAGACAUUCCAUGCUGGAAAAAUCAGACCCCAGAGGUUUGCUGUUAUUGGAACACUGUGCUGCCUGAGAUUUUCAUAAAUUUGCCGUUUCAAAAAGCUGAAAGUACUUACGCAAAAACAAUGACGACAAAAUCCAGCCAGUUCCACGGGUCACGAAGAAAAGUGAAUUCUCCUACACAGAAGCCUCUUGCAAGGAUUUUUACAAGUGAUUCAAAAGUAUAUAUUCCAGUAAAAGUGUACCUAAACACAAGAUUCCAUUGGGAUACUAGAUGUGAAAAGAAUACAACCACCAUGUAAAUCUUUAUAACUUAUUUUCUCUAAUUAACCACUGGAAGACAUAUAUUGGAGGAUGGCUGUUGGGUUAUGGACACACCCUAUUAAACUACAAUAGGUCUAUCCAGAAAAUAUUAAAAUGUCAAUAUCAGAAACACUCCCAGAAAGCAGAGGUACUUGAAAUAACUAAGAAUAUAGGUCUCAGAUCUGCCUAAAAAUUUCCUACAUUGCUUCUAUCAAAAAUUCACCCAAUCAUUUAAAAAUACACCCAUAUAAUUAUAAAACAUACACCCAAGAAUAAAAUAUGUGUAACAUGUCUAAGAACAGGAUGGAGCAUCUGACAAGUUCAUUCUUUGAGAAAACACUGUAGCAUCUAAUUUUUCUAAUCUAGCAGGUUAAUAUCAUAGAGGAGGUAAAGAACAAAAGAAAAGCAAGCAUAUAACAUGGGAAGGUAAAGAUUCCCCAUCUUCAUAAAUGCAGUAACUUCCUGGCAGGAAAAGGAAAGGAUGAAAUGAUAAUACCAAAACUAUAUUAAAAUGUACUUAUACCCACUUACUCGACAUUUUUGGUCCAGUCCGGUGGGUUAUUCAUGGUCAUAAAUAUGCAGUUUGUCAGAAUAGUGCACAUGAUGAGCAUGCUGAAUAAGGUAGCUUAGAAUCAAGGAACAAAAGAGACGACAGUGGGAAUUUGAAAUAUUUGAGGAUGACACUUGUUGAAAUGCUUACAACUUUUCCUAAGAAAAAAAUUCUAAAUGAGCUUGUAGACUAUUUUGUCUCUUUGAACAAGAGAGUAAUAAAUAAAAGUAACAUAUCCUAAAAUCUUAAUAUUGCCACUCUCCCAGUCUUCUCUGA
rnacentral:lncRNA from 10 species